rnacentral:ncRNA from 1 species
GGUUUACUUUUAUGGACUUAAAAUUUGAUUAUGGUUUUUGAAAGGUUAAAAUGUUAUUAUUUAGGUUUAAUUUAUCUUGUGGGCAAUGUUAAUUUACCCUGGCAAUUAGUUAUUUGUAUAAUAGUGGUUCCAGAAUAAUCGGCUAUGCUAUUAGAAUUUAUUCUUAAAUGGCAGUCUUAGCGUGAUUUUGUUUUUUUUUUCUUGAUGAAUUUUAGGUGGAAUUUUAAUUUGAAUUUUUGGUUUUUAUUGCGUUUUUAAGUUUUGUGGAUCGAAUUAGAUUAGUACCUAAUUAGACGAAGGUUAUUUUUUUCAGGAGUAAAGUAGAAUUUAAACUGAAAUAAUAUUGGCAGAUUUUCUAAAUUAUCUUUGGAGGUUGAGUGGUAAUUGAGAACCCCCAUUGACUGCUCUUUUUAUUGGCUCAUGUAUGAUCGUUUAUUUUAUGCUUAAGGUUUUGAAUUAAAUUUUUUUUUGAUUUAAAAAUAGAUAUAUAUUUGGUGUAUGAAUUGAGUUUACUUGACCUACAAUUUUUUAUAUAUUGGAUUUUUGUUUAGUGAGAAUUGAAAUUGUAAAAGACAGUAAAAAAAUCUUGAUGUUUUUUUGAAGAGUAUUUAGGAAUGGUACAAAUCAUCCAUCAAUUGCCCAAAGGGGAGUAAGUUGUAGUAAAGUAGAUUUAGGGGAACCUGAAUCUAGUAAUUGA